CACCUACUGACCACACUACUAGGAGAGAGGUACACCCACUGACCACACUACUAGGAGAGAGGUACACCCACUGACCACACUACUAGGAGAGAGGUACACCCACUGACCACACUACUAGGAGAGAGGUACACCCACUGACCACACUACUAGGAGAGAGGUACACCCACUGACCACACUACUAGGAGAGAGGUACACCCACUGACCACACUACUAGGAGAGAGGUACACCCACUGACCACACUACUAGGAGAGAGGUACACCCACUGACCACACUACUAGGAGAGAGGUACACCCACUGACCACACUACUAGGAGAGAGGUACACCCACUGACCACACUACUAGGAGAGAGGUACACCCACUGACCACACUACUAGGAGAGAGGUACACCCACUGACCACACUACUAGGAGAGAGGUACACCCACUGACCACACUACUAGGAGAGAGGUACACCCA